UUAAAAAUGUACGAGUCCUAAAAUUAGGAACGACGUCCCCAAUUUUUUAAGAGUUGCUCCUAAAUUUCUGCAUUAGGAACAACUUUUAGCCUUAAGCUUUUUGUGAAUACUGAUAUGUCAAGCCCUGAAUCGCGCAUGCAGGAAGCCGCCCCUCGAUGCGUCCACGGAGGUAAGUGUUUCUAUGGGCAUGGGGGUUGUGAUAAGAUACUUUAGUGACACCAAGCAGACAAUUGUAUCAACAUUUCUUGAGUUGGAGGGAGGAGAUGCCAAAUCUAUAGCCCGUGCUGUUGUGGCUUUCCUCAUGAAGUGUUGUCUUAAAAAAGAAAAAGUCCUGGGGAUAGGACUGACAAUGCCUCUGUUAUGACAGGGAUUAACAAUGGGGUCCAAAAAAUGCUGAAGGAGGAGUAUGGCCUCAAAAAUCUGGUUCUUAUUCACUGUGUCCCUUACGAAAAAGUAGUUUAUUCAAGUGUGCUAUUAGGAUGCUUCUUUUAAACUAAAAAUAAGAAAGUAUACUUUGUCUACUUUUUAUAUACUUCUCAGAAAUAUAGUUAAAAUUGCACUUAAGUAUACUUGACUUAUACUGACAGAAAAGUCUAAGUAUAUUUGGCCUAUACUUUUACUUAAUCUUUUGAUUGAGAUAUACUUAAAAGUAUAAUUGAGUAUUCUAAGUACACUUGGCUUGUAGUUGUUUAAUCUUUUGAUUUAGUAGCCUAUUAAAUACUUUUUCCCCACAUAGUUUUACAUACUGUCUUAUAAACGUACAUUGUUUGAAAAUAAUGACUUAUAUAGAAAACAGAUAUGAUCCUAAUUCUCAGUAUCUGAAUUUUUGUGUAGACUAGUCCACUGGUAGCGUACAUUUUUAUUUUUUUUUAUUUAUUUAACCUUUAUUUUUCCAGGAAGGUCCCAUUGAGAUAAAAAGAAAUCUCUUCUUCCAGGGAGUCCUGGCCAAGAUGGCCGUAUUAAAUUUUCACAUAAUUACAAAACACAUAUAACAAAUUCUAAACAGACAAGGUAAAUACAAUAACAUUUAUCAUAUAUCACCGAAAUUAAUUAAAACAGCCACACACUUCAUUCAUUUUACAUCGCAAUAUAUUUUUAAACACAUUCAAAGAAGGAAUUCUUUCUAAUUGAGCAUUAAUUUGAAAUUCAUUCCACAGCCAAGGAGCAAAGUAGGAGAAAGCUGAUUUUCCAUGUUCUGAGUGUAUCCUAGGUACUUCUAAUUUAAUGCCAAUUGAUGAUCUAGUGCUAUAGUUCUUUUUAUACAGGCAUAAAAGCCUAGUAAUGUAAAUUGGCAGCAUACCCAACAAUGCCUUUACUGUAAAUACUAAUAUAUGUGAUUUCCUUCUUUGACGUAAAGAGGUCCAGCCUACACGGUUAUAUAACAAACAAUGAUGUGUACGUGAACAAGCAUUUGUUAUAAAACGCAACGCAGCAUGAUAAAUGCAAUCUAAUCUUUUUAAUAAAUAUAUAGAUGUUACGGUACACAGGAGGCAGACACAGAUGUAAACAGGUAUCGGUAGUUUAUUGACCACAGUAGAGCAUGAGAUAUCAAACAGGUGAGUAGAAUGGAUGCAGAUGAUGUUCAGAAGGUGAUAUGAGGAAUAGUUACUGUCCUUUUCGUUGCAGGGAGAUAUACGCUGGAGCUUGGAGAUCGCUGGAGAUACUUGGAGCUGACUGGAGCACACCCACACAGUAGACGAGGUACACAGAGGGAAGGGGAGACACACUGGAGACAGGUGAGUAUACGAAGAGGAGUCCUUGAGGUAAGCAUAACAGGAAGUAUAUGCGAACGAGACCGGACAUGGAGUGCUGUGUGUGUGUGCUCUUUAUGGUGCUGCUGAUGAGUGAGGUGAUGAGGUGCAGGUGGCGGUGAUCAGUACUCUGGAGAUGGUGUGCGCUGUGAUUGGUUGAGGUUGGAACCUGACGUGUCUGUGACAAUAGAAGCAUGCAUAUAAAUAAUAUCACCAUAAUCUAAAAUAGGUAAAAAAGUACUGUGAAUAAUUUUCUUUCUAGCUCCAAAGGAAAAACAUUUUUUUUGCCGAAAUCUAGCCCAAUCUUGGCUGUAAUCUUUUUACUAAGUAAUCAAUAUGAACAUCAAAUGCCAACUUCUCAUCUAUCCAUAUUCCCAGAUAUUUGUAGGUUGUUACUCUCUCUAUAUGCACGUCAUCAGCAGUAAUAAUAGACGGAGCAGUGAUCAUGGAACGACCACGUGAAAAAACAAUGUACUUAGUUUUAUUCACAUUUAAAAUUAAUUUUAAUUGGAGUAAAUUCUGCUGAAAAGUAUUAAAAGAAUCCUGUAACAUUUCAAUAGCUUGUGAAAGAGAGGCUGCAGCUGAAUAAAUUAUUGUAUCGUCAGCAUAAAAGUGUAACUUUGCGGAUUUUAUUCCCUGCCCUAAUUCAUUUAUAAAAAUAGAAAAAAGAAGUGGUGCCAGUAAAGAACCUUGCGGGACACCCUUCUCAACUGUUAACACGGAUGAAACAUAAUUAUCUAUAGCAACACAUUGCGUUCGAUCAAAUAAAUAAUUUUGAAACCAACUCAAGGCCGAGUUAAAGAGGCCUAUACUUUUAAGCCUCUGCAACAGUAAUGAUUCACUAAGUCAAACGCUUUUGUCAAAUCAACAAACAAGGCCGCACAAUGCUGUCUCUCAUCGAGAGCGGUGAUUAAAUCAUUAGUAACAAGUGUAGUAGCUGUUAUCGUACUAUGGCCCGCUCUAAAUCCUGACUGAAAUGCGUUUAAAAUAUUUCGACUAGCAAGGUAUUCUUUCAUUUGAUCAUUUACUAUAGAUUCAAAAACUUUUGCUAAAACCGAUAAUUUAGAAAUAGGGCGAUAAUUAUUCAAAUCAGAGGGAUCUCCUCCUUUUAAUAAUGGCAUAACCAUAGCUGAUUUCCAAGAUGUUGGAAUUACAUUUGUGGAUAGACUCAAAUUAAAAAUUGAUGCAAUAGGUUCAGCAAUAAUAUCUGCAGACAUUUAAAAAAAAAAAUGGUUCAAUUUUAUCAAAUCCACUUGAUUUCUUACAGUCUAAAUUUGAAAGUAACUUAUAAACUUCGGUGGACAAUAUAGGGGUAAAAGAAAAUAAAUCUGAUUUAUUAUAAUUUGUCGUCUCAUCAAUUUCCUGUUCAUCAGUGAUCAACGAAUUAUUGGUACCUGUUAUCAAACUAGCUGAAACAAAAUGAUUAUUAAAAAUAUUAACAAUAUCAGCCUUGUCUGUAAUUAAUCUCCGGUCCACUUUUAAAACUUUUGGAAAAUCAGUAGAUUUAUUUGUCCCUACAAGAGAUUUUGUUAAUUUCCAAAAUUUAGAAGGAUCAUUCAUUUUAUUAUUAGAUUAAGAUAAUAUUGACUUUUAGAACUUUUUGUCAAUUUUGUGCACUUAUUUCGUAGAAAUCUAUAAUUGGACCAGUCCUCAUCACUUUUUUUUUUUUUUAUUUGCUUUGGACCAGGCUAAAUUUCUUUGUUUAAUAAGAUUAGAAACAGAUUCACUGAACCAAGGAUUAUUUUUUCCACUCACUCGAUAUCUACGUAAAGGAGCAUGUUUAUCACAAAUUUUAAGAAAGGUAGAUUUAAAAUAAUCCCAAGCAUCAACCACAUCAGGUAUAGACGAAACUAACUGUAAGUCACUAUUAUACACAUCAUGCAAAAAAGCUUGUUCAUUAAAAUUGUUGAACUGUCAUUUAAAUAUAAAUCUGGGUGAACUCUUAGGCAACUUAAAAUUUCUCACACAAGAUAUUGCACAAUGAUCGCUAAGGUCAUUACAAAAAACUCCUAUCGCAGAGAAAACAUGAGGUAUAUUGGUUAAAAUAAUAUCAAUCAAAGAUGAUUUGCUCAUACUCUUUCCAUUUAGACGAGUUGGUGAACUUAUCAAUUGUUCCAAACACAAGGAGUUACAUAUGUCCUUAAAUGAGUCCGAUGACUGAGACAACCAGUCCCAGUUUAAAUCUCCCAUUAAAACUAAAUCAGAGUUAGACCAACUGUGCAACAUAUCUGUAAGCAAUGAAAUUGCCUCACUUGAAGCUGAAGGCGGGCGGUAACAACCGACCACCAUCAUGUCAGACCCAUUAAGUAAAGAAACUUUAAUAGCUAAAAGUUCAAAACAUUUUAAAAUACUAACUGACUCGGUACAAAUACAAUUCAUAUUUACUUUAAUAUAAAUUGCAAAAUUUGAAGAAUUUAACUCUUUCCUCACCAUUGACUGAAUUUUCAUGCUAUUGGUGUUUUCAGUGUUAUAUGGUAGGGGGCACUAUGAUGCAUUUUCUGAAAUAGUACAGAAUCUCUGGUUAUUUACCAUGUAUACAUUUAUUUAAUAGGCUACACUCCCUUUAAGACCGAAUCCAUGGAUAAUGACACACAGAGCCAUAUAGAGAGAGAGUUGCGACAACUCCAUAGACUCCAAUGGAACGUUUUUUUUACAGCAAUGGCGGCUCAUGGAACCUCUCAGUAGUUCCCGGAAGUAGCAGCCGCGCCAUAGAGUUACAGCAGAACAGUCCGUUUGUGAUGUAUUUUUAAAAGCACGAAGGGGAUUCAGAUCCUGAAGUCUCCAUGCAAUGAUGUUGCACCCUCACUGCCAGUCUCUGCUCCUUGGAUUUUGCAAGCUUUUCCUUGCUCCUUAUUUUUAAUAAACCUUUAAUAAACAUAAAA